rnacentral:rRNA from 1 species
GAUGAACGCUGGCGGCGUGCCUAAUACAUGCCAGUCGAGCGAACAGACGAGGAGCUUGCUCCUCUGACGUUAGCGGCGGACGGGUGAGUAACACGUGGAUAACCUACCUAUGAGACUGGGAUAACUUCGGGAAACCGGAGCUAAUACCGGAUAAUAUAUUGAACCGCAUGGUUCAAUAGUGAAAGACGGUUUUGCUGUCACUUAUAGAUGGAUCCGCGCCGCAUUAGCUAGUUGGUAAGGUAACGGCUUACCAAGGCGACGAUGCGUAGCCGACCUGAGAGGGUGAUCGGCCACACUGGAACUGAGACACGGUCCAGACUCCUACGGGAGGCAGCAGUAGGGAAUCUUCCGCAAUGGGCGAAAGCCUGACGGAGCAACGCCGCGUGAGUGAUGAAGGUCUUCGGAUCGUAAAACUCUGUUAUUAGGGAAGAACAAAUGUGUAAGUAACUAUGCACGUCUUGACGGUACCUAAUCAGAAAGCCACGGCUAACUACGUG